rnacentral:rRNA from 1 species
UUUCCGUAGGUGAACCUGCGGAAGGAUCAUUAAUGUAACCGGACUGGCACGUUCGCCGUAAAACGCAACGGGUUGGAAAGGGAGAUAUUAUACACCCUAUGUUUAUUUACUUUUGUUGCUCUGGCGGGCCGCCUUAGGCGUCGGCCCCGGCUGAUUGCGCCCGCCAGAGGACCCAAACUCUUUUAUUAGUGAUGUCUGAGUACUAUAUAAUAGUUAAAACUUUCAACAACGAAUCUCUUGGUUCUGGCAUCGAUGAAGAACGCAGCGAAAUGCGAUAAGUAAUGUGAAUUGCAGAAUUCAGUGAAUCAUCGAAUCUUUGAACGCACAUUGCGCCCGCUGGUAUUCCGGCGGGCAUGCCUGUUCGAGCGUCAUUAUAACCAAUCAAGCUCUGCUUGGCCUUGGGGCCCGCUGUACCGGCGGCUCUUAAAAUCAGUGGCGGUGCCGUCUGGCUCUAAGCGUAGUAAUAUUCCUCGCUAUAGAGUCCAGCCUUCCACCCGCCAAAACCCCCAAUUUUCUUAGGUUGACCUCGGAUCAGGUAGGGAUACCCGCUGAACUUAAGCAUAUCAAUAAGCGGAGGAAA